AUUGAAACAUUGGUUCCCCUAAGAUCACUGAAGUUAAAUUAAGCAAUCUUGAGACUGGUCAGUACUUAGAUGGGUAACAUCUUGGGAAUACCAGGCACUGUAAG